GGGGUAGUAGCUCAGCUGGUAGAGUUUUGGAUUCCAAAUCCAACGGUCGCAGGUUCGAGUCCUGUCUAUCUCA